rnacentral:lncRNA from 1 species
GGCAAGAGGUCAAAUUGGAGCUGUAGCUGCCGGCCUUUACCACAGCCACGGCAAUGUCAGAUCCAAGCUGCAUCUGUGACCUAUGCCGUAGCUUGUAGCAAUGCUUGGAUCCUUAACCCACUGAUGCAGACCAGGGAUUGAACCUGCAUCCUCAUGGACACUAGCUGGGUUUGUUACUAGUGAGCCACAACAGGAGCUCCUAUCAGCUUAUUUUGCACCUGUACCAGCUGAUAUUUUUGCCAGCUUCUUUACCUAGAUGAAUUCACAAGGAUGACAGAACAUUCAGGAGCUCUGGCCUUCAGCUUUACAGAUAUUUAAAAUAUUUUUCCAUCUCCUCCCUUCAGUCACUGAAGUUGGGGCUUCAAUGCUUUGAAGAAUAAGUAUUUCUGUAUAAACACUACUUCUUCCUGAUAAUUUGGCCAUAGCCAGUGACUUAUCUGAAAUCAUAUUUCUUUGACUGCUUAGCCCCUCGACACAGAAGAAAAGAGUACAGUCAAUAAUAUUUGAUCUGGAGUUCCUGUCAUGGUGCAGUGGAAACGAUUCUGGCUAGGAACCAUGAGGUUAUAGGUUCGAUCCCUGGCCUCACUCAGUGGGUUAAGGAUCCAGUGUUGCCGUGAGCUGUGGUGUAGGGUCGCAGACGUGGCUCAGAUUUGGCGUUGCUGUGGCUACGGCUGUGGCUGGCAACUGCAGCUCUGAUUCAACUCCUAGCCUGGGAACUUCCAUGUGCUGCAGGUAUAGCUGUAAAAAGAAAAAAAAUCCACUCUAAGAUGAUACUUGAUGUAUGAAGUAGCUGAACUUGGGUUUGGGGGACUAGGUUAUGGAAGGAGCAGUGGGGCAUUAGAUGACUCAGAAACUUAAGAGAAAUGAGAUGGUAUUUCAGUCUAGAAUGGAUAAACUUUGUUUGGGUUAUAUAAUUACCUUCACAGUUGUGUUUCUUUUUACUUCCUUUUUUUAAAAAAUGAGUAACAAAAUUAAGUGACUUAAUUUUUUUAAAAUUAAUUUUCUUCCUAGGGUAGACUCAGUUUUAACCUAAUUGAUGGAUAUCUUAAAAGAUUUCAUAAAAUCUAAAUGGUGAAGGGAUUUUUAACUUUACCAAGAUUUCCUGAAAUUCCCAGUGCUCUUAGUAAAUUAACACAGGACUUGAUCGACAGUCCAUUUAUACAUAAAUUCUUCAGAAACACAUUGGUGCACAAGUUCCGCAUUCCUGUCCAGUGGAUAAAUCCUGCUGGGAGAAGGUGUGGAGGGAUGGUUCUCAGAACAGGAUUUGAGAAUAGGGACAAUGGGGGUGGUCCAGGUGAUGUCACCUUCCUCUGGAUUUGGGCUCAGUGAAUCACACAUAACACCGUCUUGCUUAAUCUAUGAUUGGAAAGUUCUGUUACCAAUAUCUGUGCACUUUUAUUUGUGUUCUAAACAUGUUUUAGCCAGGGCUUCUGCACUGGGUUAAAGAUGUG